rnacentral:misc_RNA from 1 species
GACUCGUCUCUGCUCCUUUCCCCUGUUUCGUUCUUUUGCAAAGGCAUAACUAUAUUUGAACUUGCAGGCUACCUGGUGACUAUGGUUUUGAUCCACUUGGUCUAGGAAAGGACCCUGCAUUCUUGAAAUGGUACAGAGAAGCUGAGCUCAUUCAUGGCAGAUGGGCAAUGGCUGCGGUAUUGGGCAUCUUUGUUGGUCAAGCAUGGAGUGGCAUUCCAUGGUUUGAGGCUGGUGCUGACCCUGGCGCUAUUGCACCUUUCUCUUUUGGCACACUUCUUGGUACACAACUUAUCCUCAUGGGGUGGGUUGAGAGCAAAAGAUGGGUCGACUUCUUCGACCCUGACUCUCAGUCUGUAGAAUGGGCCACCCCAUGGUCCAAGACUGCUGAGAACUUCGCCAACUUCACAGGCGAACAGGGUUAUCCCGGUGGCAAAUUCUUCGAUCCUCUGGCAUUAGCUGGUACACUUAACAAUGGAGUUUACGUCCCUGACACAGAGAAGCUUGAGAGAUUAAAGGUUGCUGAGAUCAAGCAUGCUAGACUUGCUAUGUUAGCCAUGUUAAUUUUCUAUUUUGAGGCUGGGCAAGGGAAGACACCCCUGGGAGCUCUUGGUUUGUAAGGGGUUUCGUAUUAAACAUUUCAUUGUAAAAAGUCACUGGAUGUAGAAAGAAGAAAUCAAAAUUUGGUUGUCCCCUUUAGAAAAUUCAAG